UGGGGAACGAAAGAAAGGAGAAGAAAGGGAAAGGAGGACCUGUAGGUGGCAUCCCAGGGUGACCUGACAAUGGAGUGGCAUCUCUGAGACCAGACAUGCACCUUUCAGACUCUCAGCUCUCCCAGAACCUGAACGAACUCCAAGAGGAUCUAAUCAACGUCAAAUCCCAGAGUGAGACUUGGAAAGACAGGGGGAAAGGGGUAAACUGAGUGGGAGGCUGUGGCGCUGGGAGAGUCAGUCAGUGUCUGAAGGCUGCACCCAUCUUCACUCUCAGACUCUGAACUCUCCCAGAACCUGAACACACUCCAAGAGGAUCUAGUCAACGUCAAAUCCCAGGGCUUGAAUGAGAAGCGCGCGGCCUCAGAUUCUCUGGAGAAGCUACAGGAAGAGGUGGCAAAACUGUGGAUUGAGAUACUGAUGUCAAAGGGUGAGCCUGGUCUACCAUCGAUGGCGGCCUGUGACCAAAUACAGUGACACUCUGUGUGUGGCAUACGAGGUGACUGUGCUGACACAAUUGUGUAGCAUGGCGUGACAGAGGUUCUGUGUGACGUUCGUGGAUCCAACUUGCUGUGGGGACCAAGACAGAUGGGGACUUAGAAGACUCUCUGUUGAUGGGGAUGAGGGUCACACUGUCUUCUUCCUCCGGGAUAAAGCUAACCACCACUAGCUUCCCGUUCCUGUUGUCUGCCCAGCCAGGCAGGGAGAUGUGGUCGUCAGGAGCCCUGUCACAGGUGGCAGGGACAGAGGAGCCGCUCCAUGUUGUGCCCCCUGGAAGCAGCCUAGGGAGUUUCCUCAACUUUAGGGAUCUCAACAAGAAUUUUUAAACU
rnacentral:lncRNA from 1 species